rnacentral:rRNA from 1 species
AAAUUGAAGAGUUUGAUCAUGGCUCAGAUUGAACGCUGGCGGCAGGCCUAACACAUGCAAGUCGAACGGUAACAGGAAACAGCUUGCUGUUUCGCUGACGAGUGGCGGACGGGUGAGUAAUGUCUGGGAAACUGCCUGAUGGAGGGGGAUAACUACUGGAAACGGUAGCUAAUACCGCAUAACGUCGCAAGACCAAAGAGGGGGACCUUCGGGCCUCUUGCCAUCGGAUGUGCCCAGAUGGGAUUAGCUUGUUGGUGGGGUAACGGCUCACCAAGGCGACGAUCCCUAGCUGGUCUGAGAGGAUGACCAGCCACACUGGAACUGAGACACGGUCCAGACUCCUACGGGAGGCAGCAGUGGGGAAUAUUGCACAAUGGGCGCAAGCCUGAUGCAGCCAUGCCGCGUGUAUGAAGAAGGCCUUCGGGUUGUAAAGUACUUUCAGCGGGGAGGAAGGGAGUAAAGUUAAUACCUUUGCUCAUUGACGUUACCCGCAGAAGAAGCACCGGCUAACUCCGUGCCAGCAGCCGCGGUAAUACGGAGGGUGCAAGCGUUAAUCGGAAUUACUGGGCGUAAAGCGCACGCAGGCGGUUUGUUAAGUCAGAUGUGAAAUCCCCGGGCUCAACCUGGGAACUGCAUCUGAUACUGGCAAGCUUGAGUCUCGUAGAGGGGGGGUAGAAUUCCAGGUGUAGCGGUGAAAUGCGUAGAGAUCUGGAGGAAUACCGGUGGCGAAGGCGGCCCCCUGGACGAAGACUGACGCUCAGGUGCGAAAGCGUGGGGAGCAAACAGGAUUAGAUACCCUGGUAGUCCACGCCGUAAACGAUGUCGACUUGGAGGUUGUGCCCUUGAGGCGUGGCUUCCGGAGCUAACGCGUUAAGUCGACCGCCUGGGGAGUACGGCCGCAAGGUUAAAACUCAAAUGAAUUGACGGGGGCCCGCACAAGCGGUGGAGCAUGUGGUUUAAUUCGAUGCAACGCGAAGAACCUUACCUGGUCUUGACAUCCACAGAACUUUCCAGAGAUGGAUUGGUGCCUUCGGGAACUGUGAGACAGGUGCUGCAUGGCUGUCGUCAGCUCGUGUUGUGAAAUGUUGGGUUAAGUCCCGCAACGAGCGCAACCCUUAUCCUUUGUUGCCAGCGGUCCGGCCGGGAACUCAAAGGAGACUGCCAGUGAUAAACUGGAGGAAGGUGGGGAUGACGUCAAGUCAUCAUGGCCCUUACGACCAGGGCUACACACGUGCUACAAUGGCGCAUACAAAGAGAAGCGACCUCGCGAGAGCAAGCGGACCUCAUAAAGUGCGUCGUAGUCCGGAUUGGAGUCUGCAACUCGACUCCAUGAAGUCGGAAUCGCUAGUAAUCGUGGAUCAGAAUGCCACGGUGAAUACGUUCCCGGGCCUUGUACACACCGCCCGUCACACCAUGGGAGUGGGUUGCAAAAGAAGUAGGUAGCUUAACCUUCGGGAGGGCGCUUACCACUUUGUGAUUCAUGACUGGGGUGAAGUCGUAACAAGGUAACCGUAGGGGAACCUGCGGUUGGAUCACCUCCUUA